rnacentral:rRNA from 2 species
AAAUUGAAGAGUUUGAUCAUGGCUCAGAUUGAACGCUGGCGGCAGGCCUAACACAUGCAAGUCGAACGGUAGCACAGAGAGCUUGCUCUCGGGUGACGAGUGGCGGACGGGUGAGUAAUGUCUGGGAAACUGCCUGAUGGAGGGGGAUAACUACUGGAAACGGUGGCUAAUACCGCAUAACGUCGCAAGACCAAAGAGGGGGACCUUCGGGCCUCUUGCCAUCAGAUGUGCCCAGAUGGGAUUAGCUUGUUGGUGAGGUAACGGCUCACCAAGGCGACGAUCCCUAGCUGGUCUGAGAGGAUGACCAGCCACACUGGAACUGAGACACGGUCCAGACUCCUACGGGAGGCAGCAGUGGGGAAUAUUGCACAAUGGGCGCAAGCCUGAUGCAGCCAUGCCGCGUGUAUGAAGAAGGCCUUCGGGUUGUAAAGUACUUUCAGCGGGGAGGAAGGUGUUGUGGUUAAUAACCGCAGCAAUUGACGUUACCC